CCUACGGGAGGCAGCAGUGGGGAAUAUUGGACAAUGGGGGCAACCCUGAUCCAGCCAUGCCGCGUGUGUGAAGAAGGCCCUCGGGUUGUAAAGCACUUUCAGUGAGGAAGAACGCCUGGUGGUUAAUACCCAUCAGGAAAGACAUCACUCACAGAAGAAGCACCGGCUAACUCCGUGCCAGCAGCCGCGGUAAUACGGAGGGUGCGAGCGUUAAUCGGAAUUACUGGGCGUAAAGCGCACGUAGGUGGCUUGAUAAGCCGGUUGUGAAAGCCCCGGGCUCAACCGGGGAACGGCAUCCGGAACUGUCAGGCUAGAGUGCAGGAGAGGAAGGUAGAAUUCCAGGUGUAGCGGUGAAAUGCGUAGAGAUCGGGAGGAAUACCAGUGGCGAAGGCGGCCUUCUGGACUGACACUGACACUGAGGUGCGAAAGCGUGGGUAGCAAACAGGAUUAGAUACCCUGGUAGUC
rnacentral:rRNA from 1 species